GACGAACCGUGCGAACGUUGUUCGGAAUCACUGGGCUUAAAGGGCGCGUAGGCGGGGCAUCAAGUCCGGGGUGAAAGCCCCCCGCUCAACGGGGGAAGGGCCUUGGAUACUGGUGCUCUGGAGGGAGGUAGGGGCAUGUGGAACUUCCGGUGGAGCGGUGAAAUGCGUAGAGAUCGGAAGGAACGCCGGUGGCGAAAGCGACGUGCUGGACCUCUUCUGACGCUGAGGCGCGAAAGCCAGGGGAGCAAACAGG
rnacentral:rRNA from 1 species